rnacentral:rRNA from 1 species
UGGGGAAUAUUGCACAAUGGGCGCAAGCCUGAUGCAGCCAUGCCGCGUGUAUGAAGAAGGCCUACGGGUUGUAAAGUACUUUCAGCGGGGAGGAAGGGAGUAAAGUUAAUACCUUUGCUCAUUGACGUUACCCGCAGAAGAAGCACCGGCUAACUCCGUGCCAGCAGCCGCGGUAAUACGGAGGGUGCAAGCGUUAAUCGGAAUUACUGGGCGUAAAGCGCACGCAGGCGGUUUGUUAAGUCAGAUGUGAAAUCCCCGGGCUCAACCUGGGAGCUGCAUCUGAUACUGGCAAGCUUGAGUCUCGUAGAGGGGGGUAGAAUUCCAGGUGUAGCGGUGAAAUGCGUAGAGAUCUGGAGGAAUACCGGUGGCGAAGGCGGCCCCCUGGACGAAGACUGACGCUCAGGUGCGAAAGCGUGGGGAGCAAACAGG